AGAGUUUGAUCAUGGCUCAGGAUUAACGCUAGCGGCAGGCCUAAUACAUGCAAGUCGCACGGGAUUCAGGGUAGCAAUAUCCUGAUGAGAGUGGCGCACGGGUGCGUAACACGUAUGCAACCUACCUCUUACUGGGGAAUAGCCCACCGAAAGGUGGAUUAAUACCGCAUAAUAUUAUGAAGUGGCAUUACUUUAUAAUUAAACCUACGGGGGUAAGAGAUGGGCAUGCGUCCGAUUAGCUAGUUGGCGGGGUAACGGCCCACCAAGGCAACGAUCGGUAGGGGGUCUGAGAGGAUGAUCCCCCACACUGGUACUGAGACACGGACCAGACUCCUACGGGAGGCAGCAGUAAGGAAUAUUGGACAAUGGUCGAAAGACUGAUCCAGCCAUGCCGCGUGCAGGAUUAAGGCCCUAUGGGUCGUAAACUGCUUUUAUACGGGACAAAACCCCUCUACGUGUAGAGGGCUGAUGGUACUGUAAGAAUAAGGGUCGGCUAACUUCGUGCCAGCAGCCGCGGUAAUACGAAGGACCCGAGCGUUAUCCGGAUUUAUUGGGUUUAAAGGGUGCGUAGGCGGAUUUAUAAGUCAGUGGUGAAAGCCUAUAGCUUAACUAUAGAAUUGCCAUUGAUACUGUAAGUCUUGAGUACAGUUGAGGUGGGCGGAAUGUGCAGUGUAGCGGUGAAAUGCUUAGAUAUUGCACAGAACACCAAUUGCGAAGGCAGCUCGCUAAGCUGUAACUGACGCUGAUGCACGAAAGUGUGGGUAGCAAACAGGAUUAGAUACCCUGGUAGUCCACACCCUAAACGAUGAUAACUCGCUGUUGGCGAUACACAGUCAGCGGCUAAGCGAAAGCAUUAAGUUAUCCACCUGGGAAGUACGACCGCAAGGUUGAAACUCAAAGGAAUUGACGG
rnacentral:rRNA from 1 species